UUCCGGUUGAUCCCGCCGGAGGUUACUGCUAUCGAGGUUCGACUAAGCCAUGCGAGUCGAAUGCCGCAAGGCAUGGCGUACUGCUCAGUAACACGUGGACAACCUACCCUUAGGACUGGGAUAACCCCGGGAAGCUGGGAAUAAUCCCCGAUAGUCCUCGAAGGCUGGAAUGCAUCGAGGGCGAAAGCUCCGGCGCCUAAGGAUGGGUCUGCGGCCUAUCAGGUAGUAGUGGGUGUAGCGUACCUACUAUCCUACGACGGGUACGGGUUGUGAGAGCAAGAGCCCGGAGAUGGAUUCUGAGACACGAAUCCAGGCCCUACGGGGUGCAGCAGGCGCGAAAACUUUACAAUGCUGGCAACAGCGAUAAGGGAACCUCGAGUGCCAGGUUACAAAUCUGGCUGUCGAGAUGCCUAAAAAGCAUUUCAUAGCAAGGGCCGGGCAAGACCGGUGCCAGCCGCCGCGUUAACACCGGCGGCUCGAGUGGUAACCGUUAUUAUUGG
rnacentral:rRNA from 1 species